rnacentral:tRNA from 1 species
UCCCUUAUAGCUCAGUUUGUAAAGAAUCUGCCUGCAGUACAGGAAACCCGGGUUCAAUCCCUGGUUUGGGAA